CUAAAGAAUAUGACAAAGCAAGAGAAUUUCAUGAAAAAGCGUUGGAAAUUCAACAAAAAGCACUUGGUCCUGAAAAUGUUAAUGUAGCUACGACUUUAAAAAAUCUUGGUAAUGUGUACCAUUCUACUAAAGAAAAGGACAAAGCAAACGAAUUUUAUAAGAAAGCGCAGGCAAUUCGAAAAAAAUCGUUUGCUUCGAAUCAUGUUGUUGUUACUGAAUCUUCGAACAGUAUUGAUUUCCUUGGAUAAAUGGAUGAUGUGUGCAAGUUAAGAAUUAUGCGGUCGGCACUAGAUCAUGGUCAACUAACGUACGCCCCCCACAUAUUAUUCUUAUUAUGUCAGCGAUUUACUGGACCUAAGGAGAACAAUGUAAUGUUAUAAAGUAGAAAUGGACUCUAUUUGUAUUAUAGAUAUGAUAUUAAAUAUUUUCCUGUUA